UUGACCUACCUAUAGAUCCUUUAUACAGUAGCCCAAAUUGUCCUGGGCAGGUCCUUUUUCGAACCACAGAAACCUAUAUUGUUGUACAAUUUCGUUGAAGUUCCUCUCUCAAGGUAACAAUUCUCCAUAAUAAUGUAUAACGGUUCAUUUUUACAAAGUGACUCCAUUUCCUAUCUCACAUGUUCAUGGAAUUCUACAGCAAAUUUGAUACUGCGGGACUUGUCGUUUUCGUGGGCAGGAGUGCAUGCAACUUGCUAAUCAAAGAAAGCAAUGGGUUUUCAUGACAAAGGUAACAGUUCUCCAUAAUAAUUUGUUACGGUUCAUUUUUACAAAGUGACUACAUUUGCUAUCUCACAUGUUCAUAGAAUUCUUCAGCAAAUUUGAUACUGUGGUUUGUCGUUUUAGUGGGCACGGGUGCAUGCAACUUGCUAAUCACAACUGUCUUGGACAUGAGUUUUUCAAACCAUGGUAUUGUUGUACAAUUUCGAUGAAAUUCCUCUCUACAGGUAACAUUUCUACAUAUUAAUAUACAACGUUUAUUUUGACAACGUGAAUACAUUUGCUAUUUGCUAUCUCACAUGUUCAUGGAUUUCUUCAGCAAAUUUGAUACUGCGGCUUGUCGUUUUCGUGGGCAGGGGUGCAUGCAACUUGCUAAUCACAGCUGUCCUGGACAUGACUUUUUCAAACCAUGGUAUUGUUGCACAAUUUCGAUGAAAUUUCUCUCUACAGGUAACAUUUCUACAUAUUAAUGUACAACGUUCAUUUUUACACAGUCACCAUAUUUGCUAUCUCACAUGUUCUGUGGGCGGGAGUGCAUGCAACUGCUAAUCAAAUAAAGCGAUGGGUUUUCAUGACAGAAUGCUCUGUACAUGAAUCACAUUCCAAAAGACCAUCUAAUGUUUUACUUGUAAUUAGGUUUUGGGCACAAACUGCUGGUCAUGAUUUAUAUCUACCAAUCAGCCAUAACCUUGUUGUAUCGAUGGUGAGUUAACGACGGCAGCACUCUUCUACACAUUAUUUCUUUGCAAGCAAUAUUGGCUGUCGUAUUAUACAUGUUUAUAACAUAAUAUUUCUAGCAGCAUACUUUCUGCAAAUUAAUAUAACGUUUCAAAAAGUAGAAGGUACUUUAUUGUCCUCGUAUGGAUAAGAAAAACCCAUUUCUCAUAUUAAAUAAGCAAACUCAUACCAAGAAUUUUGUAUGAUCAACUAUUUAACUGUAUACUAAUUGCAUCCCCAGUCCUGCUUAAGCUAUAAAGUGUAUUCCGGCCUAAUUUAUUUACAAGAAAAAGUUAAAUAGAUCGGUUAUGACUCGUCACCAGGUUUGGUUCCACUUAAUAAGACAAUGUGACUCAAUUUGUGAGGACUGAUGGAGCUUUAUUCUUGUCCAACUGUACAUAUGACAUGAUUGGUACCACUUAAUAAUUAAUAUGACAAUAUGACUCAUUAUUGGACGACUGUUAGAGUUACAUUUUGUCAAAUUGUAUAUACAUUGUACGACAUGCACAUUCAAGGUCUGUUAUUAACCUUGCAUAGUUGUGAAUUGUUUUUCAUAUAUUGUGGUGGAUAUUUCUAAAAAUAUUUAAUCUUUUAUCUUAUAUUGGUAUGCUUCCGUGUUUCCGGAAAUUACAUCUGAUACUAUACUUUUUGGGUAUAAUAUAUCUUUCAAUGCAAGAGACUCUAAUUUCAGGGUGAUGGGGAGAAGAUUCAGAUCCUUGAGUAUGGUCAUGGUACGAGGGAGAAUGAUCCUUACCACAUGAAUCCUCCUUGUACUGCUUUUAUUUAUAAUCUCCUUCUACUUUAUAAGCAUAUGGAACUAUUUAAAUAAUAAGUUAUGUUUUCUCAUUUGUUUCAGGACGAGUGUAUGUAAUAUGAGUUUUUUAAAAAACUAAUUACGUAAUUUAAUUUGCACGUUGGUUUCUUUAAUAUCAUUGAGAGAGAAAAUGACUGAAAUGAAUCAUAUUUGGGGGGCAGAAACAACAGAAAAUUUGGACUACUAUUAACUUAUGAACAUAGACAAUACAUUCGCCAAAAACGUGCUACUGUUGCUUCUCAAAAGUGGGCUGAAUUUUCAAGUUUCCGGGUUCUAUGUUCAUUCACUCUGAUACUGAUUUGAAUCUUGUGUUUCAUAGAGACUGUUGAUAAACUCAAGCGGAAAGUCUUUAUCCAUUGUACAGAUUGGGAAAUAAAUUGGACAUACCACCACGUAAGUCUGCGGGUCUUCUAAAUUUCUUCUUUCAAAUCCUCAUUGCAGACACCUUUUAUGCUCUCAUAUUAAGGUUCAGACACACACACACACAGACUAGUGCAGGCUCAUAUACUAUAUAUAUGUAUAUUUAAUGGGAAACAAAUGUUAUAUAUCUUUGCUCACCACCUAGAAAAAGAAUUUGUGGUUUCUAUUGAGAAAUGAUUUUUGAGUGCUUGUGGUAUUUGGUGUAAAUACUAAAGAUGUUAGUCUGGUCCCAACUUCACUCCAGUGAUUAGCCGGCUACCUCUUUUACUUCAUAUAUGUAUUAUUUAAACUCUUUAUUUACAGCUCUCUCCUUUUGCGUCGAAUACUGAUCUAAUACUUUCUGCAAUUAAUCAUUUGCAAGUUGGGGAACAAACAAGGCUUGAAUUAUCCAGAUUUUGGCUCACAUCAAUGCCUCACAUCGUAAAGAAACUUAUACUGCAACAUAUAUGGAGAAGAUCCGCUUAAAGCUUUGGACAGAACUAUAUAGCGAUUUUGAGGUAAUUUAAACUAGCGGGCUUUUGUCUAUUUGCUUAUCUGGUACUAUCUUCAUAUAUCCUGAUUAUGAAAGAUAAUCCUUUUAUUGGCAUUAGAUAAUCAACCAGAAGGCAGCUUUAUUAUUGGAGUCCAGUAUCAGCUGAAUGUGAUGCAUAUUUGGCAAACGAAGCGACAAAAAUGUUAACAGCAAACAAGUUAGUUCUCAAAGAAAUUUCUUGCACCAGUUCUUUUAUGAUUUUAUUAUAUAUAAUUCCUUUUAUUUUUUGAAAGGGGAUCUUAGAAUUGUUUUUCGCCUUUGCUUACAUAAGAGAGAGAAGUAAAUCUUGGAAAUCGAUUAGUGACAAAUGACAAGAAUAUUAGAAGUAAAAGAUGUGGGGAAAAGUAUAUCUCCCAUUGCUGGAGAGUCCUCAUUAUAUAUAUUAAUCAUUAAACAGUAUCUGUAAGUCCCAUUUUCUUUUGACCUACCUAUAGAUCCUUUAUACAGUAGCUCAAAAUUGUCCUGGGCAGGUCCUUUUUCGAACCACGGAAACCUAUAUUGUUGUACAAUUUCGAUGAAGUUCCUCUCAUUUCUCAUAUUAAAUAAGCAAACUCAUACCAAGAAUUUUGUAUGAUCAAUUAUUUAACUGUAUACUAAUUGCAUCCCCAGUCCUGCUUAAGCUAUAAAGUGUAU
rnacentral:lncRNA from 1 species